CCUACGGGAGGCAGCAGUGAGGAAUAUUGGUCAAUGGACGCAAGUCUGAACCAGCCAAGCCGCGUGAAGGAAGAAGGCGCUAUGAGUUGUAAACUUCUUUUGUAGGGGGGCAAACGGAGACACGCGUAUCGGUCUGAGAGUAUCCGACGAAUAAGCAUCGGCUAACUCCGUGCCAGCAGCCGCGGUAAUACGGAGGAUUCAAGCGUUAUCCGGAUUUAUUGGGGUGAAAGGGUGCGUAGGGGGGUUGUGAAGUCAGUUGUGAAAGGGCGGGGCUCAACCGUAGAAGUGCAGUUGAAACUGGCUGUCUUGAGACGAGGAGAGGUAGGCGGAAUGCGGGGUGUAGCGGUGAAAUGCUUAGAUAUCACGAAGAACUCCGAUUGCGAAGGCAGUUUACUGGACUGGAACUGACGCUGAGGCACGAAAGUGUGGGUAUCAAACAGGAUUAGAUACCCGUGUAGUC
rnacentral:rRNA from 1 species